AUUGAACGCUGGCGGCAGGCCUAACACAUGCAAGUCGAGCGGAUGAAGGGAGCUUGCUCCUGGAUUCAGCGGCGGACGGGUGAGUAAUGCCUAGGAAUCUGCCUGGUAGUGGGGGAUAACGUCCGGAAACGGGCGCUAAUACCGCAUACGUCCUGAGGGAGAAAGUGGGGGAUCUUCGGACCUCACGCUAUCAGAUGAGCCUAGGUCGGGUUAGCUAGUUGGUGGGGUAAAGGCCUACCAAGGCGACGAUCCGUAACUGGUCUGAGAGGAUGAUCAGUCAAAAUGGAAAUGAGAAACGGUCCCGAACCCCAAGGGAGGGCGGAGGGGGGAAAAUUGGACAAUGGGCCGAAGCCUGAACCCGGCCAGGCGGGUGGGGUGAGAAAGUCUUCGGAUUGUAAAGCACUUUAAGUUGGGAGGAAGGGCAGUAAGUUAAUACCUUGCUGUUUUGACGUUACCAACAGAAUAAGCACCGGCUAACUUCGUG
rnacentral:rRNA from 1 species